GGAUAUGUCUUGGUGUUGAUGAUCUCUGUUGAACCUUCUCAGUCUCCAGUCUCAGGAUAAAUGAGGAGCUGAUUCUUAAUCCUGUCAUAUUGAAUGGACAGCAAAUUAUGGAUGAACCUAUGGGAGAGGAGGAGAUUAAUCCACAAACUGAAGAAGGCAGUAUCAAAGAAAUUGCAAUCACACAUCAUGUAAAGGAAGGACAUGAAAAGGCAGAUCCUUCCCAAUUUGAACUUUUAAAAGUAUUAGGGCAGGGAUCAUUUGGAAAGGUUUUCUUAGUCAAAAAAAUCUCAGGCUCUGAUGCUAGACAGCUUUAUGCCAUGAAAGUAUUGAAGAAGGCCACAUUGAAAGUUCGAGAUCGUGUUCGGACAAAAAUGGAGCGUGAUAUCUUGGUAGAAGUUAAUCAUCCUUUUAUUGUCAAGUUGCAUUAUGCUUUUCAAACUGAAGGGAAGUUGUAUCUUAUUUUGGAUUUUCUCAGGGGAGGAGAUUUGUUUACACGCUUAUCCAAAGAGGUGAUGUUCACAGAAGAAGAUGUCAAAUUCUACUUGGCUGAACUUGCACUUGCUUUAGACCAUCUACAUAGCCUGGGAAUAAUCUAUAGAGACUUAAAACCAGAAAACAUACUUCUUGAUGAAGAAGGUCACAUCAAGUUAACAGAUUUUGGCCUAAGUAAAGAGUCCAUUGACCAUGAAAAGAAGGCAUAUUCCUUCUGUGGAACUGUGGAAUACAUGGCUCCCGAAGUAGUUAAUCGUCGAGGUCAUACUCAGAGUGCAGAUUGGUGGUCUUUUGGUGUGUUAAUGUUUGAAAUGCUCACUGGUACACUACCUUUCCAAGGAAAAGACCGAAAAGAAACAAUGACUAUGAUUCUUAAAGCCAAACUUGGGAUGCCACAGUUUUUGAGUCCUGAAGCCCAGAGUCUUUUACGAAUGCUUUUCAAACGAAAUCCUGCAAACAGAUUAGGUGCAGGACCAGAUGGAGUUGAGGAAAUUAAAAGACAUUCAUUUUUCUCAACAAUAGACUGGAAUAAACUGUACAGAAGAGAAAUUCAUCCACCUUUUAAACCUGCAACUGGCAGGCCUGAAGAUACGUUCUAUUUUGAUCCUGAGUUUACUGCAAAAACUCCCAAAGAUUCACCGGGUAUUCCACCUAGUGCUAAUGCACAUCAGCUUUUUCGGGGGUUUAGUUUUGUUGCUAUCACCUCAGAUGAUGAAAGCCAAGCUAUGCAGACAGUUGGUGUGCAUUCAAUUGUGCAGCAGUUGCACAGAAACAGUAUUCAGUUUACUGAUGGAUAUGAAGUAAAAGAAGAUAUUGGAGUUGGCUCCUACUCUGUUUGCAAGAGAUGCAUACAUAAAGCUACAAACAUGGAGUUUGCAGUGAAGAUUAUUGAUAAAAGCAAGAGAGACCCAACAGAAGAAAUUGAAAUUCUUCUUCGUUAUGGACAGCAUCCAAACAUCAUUACUCUAAAGGACGUAUAUGAUGAUGGAAAAUAUGUGUAUGUAGUGACAGAACUUAUGAAAGGGGGUGAAUUGCUGGAUAAAAUUCUUAGACAGAAAUUUUUCUCUGAAAGAGAGGCCAGUGCUGUCCUGUUUACUAUAACCAAAACUGUUGAAUAUCUUCAUGCACAAGGGGUGGUUCACAGAGACUUGAAACCUAGCAACAUUCUUUAUGUGGAUGAAUCUGGCAAUCCAGAAUCUAUUCGAAUUUGUGAUUUUGGCUUUGCCAAACAGCUAAGAGCAGAAAACGGUCUUCUUAUGACUCCUUGUUAUACUGCAAAUUUUGUUGCACCGGAGGUUUUAAAACGACAAGGCUAUGAUGCUGCUUGUGAUAUAUGGAGUCUUGGUGUCCUCCUCUAUACAAUGCUUACUGGUUACACUCCAUUUGCAAAUGGCCCUGAUGAUACACCAGAGGAAAUAUUGGCACGGAUAGGCAGCGGAAAAUUCUCACUCAGUGGUGGUUACUGGAAUUCUGUUUCAGACACAGCAAAGGACCUGGUGUCAAAGAUGCUUCAUGUGGAUCCUCAUCAGAGACUGACUGCUGCCCUUGUGCUCAGACAUCCUUGGAUCGUCCACUGGGACCAACUGCCACAAUACCAACUAAACAGACAGGACGCACCCCAUCUAGUCAAGGGUGCUAUGGCAGCUACAUAUUCUGCUUUAAACCGUAAUCAGUCGCCAGUUUUGGAACCAGUAGGCCGCUCUACUCUUGCUCAGCGGAGAGGUAUUAAAAAAAUCACCUCCACAGCCCUGUGAAGUGACCUCAGUGAGCUAUUUGGUACCACGGUGUAAGCUGAUAGCACAAGUUCUGGCGACAGGUAGCACAUAUCUGAGAGACACCUGCAAGCACACACUGUCCCAGCUGGUACCCAUAAUGCUGCUGCUCCUGCUGCUGCUCCUGCUUCCGUCUCUUCUCGCUUUAAAUGAUUGUUAGCAAGUUAGAUUUUCCUGGAGCUUCGGGUGAAAUGAAAAUGGAAACAUGAUGAAGACAUAUUCACUGAAUCAACAAGAAUAAUGAACAUAUGAAUACCACCUAAAAAUACACUGAAUAAAGUACUCUACACCAUAUAGCAUUAUUUUUAUAGGAAAUAUUUCAUGUCCCUGAAAUAUUCUUUGUUAGUUAUAGGGAUGGACAGUUUAUGUUAAGCACUUAGCUUAAACAAUCGUUUCUAUUAGCACUGUAUCCCUUGUGCCAUCCAACAUUUUGUAUGUUUUUGUAAACAGUUCAUAUACAGUACAUUUCUGUACUGCUUUCUUUAAUGUAUACAUGCUUUGUUUAACUUGGAAUCUAUUAUUAUUAACCAAUUGACUAUUAAAUCGGGUUAAAUAGUUCACCUGGAUUAACAGUAUUGUUGGACAGCCCUAAAAAUGGCCAGAUUGUGGAACAGCUGUUGAAUGUAAUACUUCCAAAAUGUAUAUAUCUUUCCCCAUGUCUGUUUCACUGGUUCGUUCAUUUGUUUGUUUCUUAAAGUCAGGUGCUUUGUCAGGCUAACUUAGAGAGCUGUUAUGGUAGAGAAAGUUAUCACGUGUGUGUGGCAUGACAUCAAGAGUACACCUAUGAAGUUAGUCCGUAUACGUUGCAACUCCUUAGGGUUCUUUUUUCCUUAAUUAAGGAAGUAGUUCUUGCACUUUUGAUCUUGAAUAGUAUCCAUACUUAGUAUUUGGCAUAUAAUUGGGGAUUUUGCCAAUAUACAUCAAAGGCCUUUAAGAGUUAUGGUGAAGAUAUUGGCGAAGGAAAAUUUAACAACAGGUCAUUCAAGUCCCAUUAGAUCUUUCAUGUUUAAAUAGAUCAAAUUGCAGAAUUUAGCGUAUGAAUAACAGGAUACCUGUUCUUGUAUACCUGCAAGAAAAGUAUGCUUUUUUGGAAAAAAGGUAAAUCAUAAUGAGUUCUAUCCCAUUACAAUGCUCUAUAUUAAACACUAAUUUGAAUGUAAUAAAGGCCACCAGCCUCUCUAUGAAAUUGGAUUUAAACUUUCUUAUUCGAGGGAAUAAAACAUUCUUGAUCAAACAGUAUCUGUUCUCACCUGAAAUCAUAGCUCAAGUAGCCUAAGUGAAUGUUCACCAUUGAGUGUUUUCUGAAUUCCUUCUGAUAAUUUAUAGCCGUAUAAUGCUUCCUUUAACUUCAGAAAUGAUCAGCUUUCAUAGUGGUCACUGGGUCUGCUUAGAUUACAGUAUUCAUUACCUACAUCUAAUUUGGGUAGUUUCCACAAUUCUAUUUGAUUAAAGAAACUUUUGUAUCCAUUAUUACCUGCAUUUUAUGAUUUAACUUAACCUCAUCAACAAUGUGCCCAACAGAUCUCUUAGCCAUGUACUGAGCCAUUUACAUCAGAAGUCUUUUUACCUGCCCGAAGCUUUAAAUCUUUGAGAGUACAAAGCCAAGAAAGCGUACUUUAGUUAAAUGUCUUAGAAGCCACUUAUUAUUCCUUAAUUUCUCCUCUAUGCAACUAAAGAGAAAGGGAAAAUCUAUAACAUUCAUUUUGCUUAAGUGACACAAAAUGAUUAUUGCAUAGAAAUCAAAUGUAAGUUUAUCUUCUAAAUAAAAAAAUGUAUAGGAAGAAGGAUGCAGGAGAUCUAGAUGGAGAAAGUUCUAUUAAAAUUCUUGAGUAUAUGAAUGCUAACUAUCAAAAACUGCUUCCCAUUGCCUGUAAAGAAAACAUUUUUUCUUUCUUUCUCUCUCUCCUCUAUUCAGUGUUUCAAACCAUGACCAUCCCAAAUUCUUGUCACUUUUAAAAUGUUAAUGUAACUCUGAGCAAAAAAAAAAAAAGACAUAUUUUCAAAUUUUGGACACUGAUGCUAUUCCAUAAUUGCUUAGGUGUUUUGUCUAUCAGAGUCUUAGAACCAGAAGUAAAUGUGUAAAUCCUUAUAAAUUAUCUAUAUAAUUUAUUAUCUAAAUAACUUAUCUAAUUUAGAUAAUAAAUUAUCUAAAUAACUCUCAUAUUGCAUGUAAAGUACCUAAGACCCAAAGCAAAGACUAGAAUCCUUAACUUCCCAUUCAGUUUUUUUCCCUCAUAACACCAUGCUGCCUUCCCUUCAUAUUAAUACCCAACCAGGAGCAGAGUUGUUCAAAAAAAAAAUACAUAUUUCUUAGGACAAUACUCUACUGGUAGAUGAAUGGCAAGUUUAUUGCUUUCAAAGAUACUGCCUUCUUUGCCUACUCCAGCUGCCAAUUUUAUUGGAGAAAAGCAAGUCGUAUGUUCACAAAACUGAAGGCUUUUGUUGCCUAAAAUGCAGUUCGUGAGCUUAAUUUAUUUCAUCUGUGGUCCUGGUGUUCCUAUUGCCUUUGACUUACGGCAGACAAACUUGGCCAACAAUUGUGUAAUGCUUGCCCUGGGUUUACCUUUCCAUUAAUUACUGAGUCCAGCUCCACUGGGCCCUUCACCAUUUAGUUCCCCUAGUUACCAGGGCUUCUCCCAGAAGGUUUUAGUUCAGUCUUAAAGAUUAUUUCAAUGUGAAAGAAAGAACUAAACCAUCAGGCAACUUUUACAAACCUCCUCUUAUCCUAUAAUCCAAAAUAAUAUCUAGAAUGGUAGAUUGCAUUUAACUUUUCCAAGCACAUGCUGAAAAAUAUGGAUUACACUACCACGUGUUUUGUAUCUUCCCUUUCAAGUGAUGAUGUUAAGGUAAGUUUUUGUCCUUUUAAUUUUUUAUGUAAGUCAUUUCAGCUUCUAAUUUAUAGAGAUGUCUUUUUUUCUAAGUACGGUAGACCUUUAACAGAUUUAAUACGGAUUCAUUUAUUCACAAGCAACCCCAAAAAUGCAAAAAUGUAAUGAUUUUGACAAGGCACAGAAUCAAGAUGCUGCAAGGCUAAUGUGUGGGGAAAAGUCACUUAGUGAGUGUCUGGAGGGGGUGUGUGUAUGCAGUAGAGAUUCACAUUUCACAUGUGGUAGGCUGCAAAGUAUGGGUUUGGAUCAACCAUUUCCCACCUAAUUUUAAGAAGUAGUUGCUUUUGGGGCCAGGGGACAUUAUGAGAGGUGGGGCUGGCCUGUUUGCUGUUCCCUGCACCCUCAGCCCAGGAAAGAUUUGAAGGGGGAGAGGGGUGCAAAGGCUUCAUGAGUAAGCAGAAUGGAUUGGAUUGGAAAGGAACUGGGGUAGGUCCAGCCUGGGAUGAGAGCAGAGAAACAUUUAAGAUUUGGGAGCCUUGGUAUAGAUGUACUUAAUCACCAUGGAAGUCAGCAAUACAUAUCUCAACAGGGCUUUGAUAUUCUCUACUUCCUGGCCUUUAUAAAUGAUGGAAAAUUUUUCAGCUUGCUUUACCAUAUUUUAUAGAGAAAAUUCUCAUGGUGGUAUCAAGCAUUUAUGAGAUUUGUGAAGGCAUUAGGACAGGUAUCUCAGGAAUGUAAAGAGUUAGAAAAGGUCUGUUUUCUGUGUUUAAGAAAUACGAUGGGUUCCAUGGUUGACCCUUGGUGCUUAAACCAAAAGGUUCCGAUCUAGUCCUAGAGUUCUGUCCCUCUGAAAGGUCCAGCUCCAUGUGACUCACACUAGAUGUAUACAUUGAGUUUUAUUUAAUUCACAGAUAAGUUGACUUAACUCAGUAUUUAUAUUUCAGUGAAAAUAGUCCUCUUUUCACCUCCAGAUUGCUUAUAUUUUGCUGGUUUCCCCAAGUGACCAUUGGUGGAGACCAAUUAAUGAAGGAAUGAAAUUUGCUUUCUUGGGACUGUGGUAUUCUGCAGAGCUACGCUUAACCACUUUUUCUAGUGAAGAAUCUACAGAAUGAUAAUACCUAAAUAUGGAUGGCCAAGAAGAAUUUGUAUCUACAGUGUGCUUUAUGUACUUCUGACACUGCUGUAUUUUGUGUGGUCAAGUGACUUGUAACUGGUUCCAAUGUGACUGAGUGUUCUCAAAGAAUUCUAGUAAUUAAGUCGACUUAAUUUUCUUAAGCCUUGUAUUACUAUCAGUCUCACAUUUACCACUUUGAUUCUAGUCUUUUAACUGUUCAUAACAGGGCAUACCAAGGGUUGGGAUGAGAGUCUACUUCCUACCUCUUACGGCACUUUCCUCAUUAUUUUGCCAUAUAACCUUGAAGUGCAUGAUAAGCUGUUUAAAUGUCCAUGACUUCUCCCAGAGCAACUAGCAAAGUAUAUGACAUUGAAUAGAGAUUAGUGGAAAGGAAAAUUUAGAGACUAGGUUCAGAGAUGCAAACCUCAAGAAAACCUCUUUUAGAGCACAUACCAUUUGAGUACAAUAUGUGUAAACGUAUGUGAGAGGAGAGUCUCUGUAAUAGUCUCUCUAAGUAGAUUAGUUCAUAAUUGAAGUGAAAAUCUUUACUCCUAGUAUCACUAUAGUACUGAAUGAACUGUAUACUGAGAUUUUCAAACAAGUGUGUAAAGUAGAACUUUUAAAUACAAAGCAAGGGUAUAAGGAUAAAGGUUUUGGUUUGUGUUUCUCUAAGUGUAGUUUAUCAUCUAAAGCUUUUUUUUUUUUAAUUGCCAUUCCUUAGCAUCCUUAAUAAUUAUGGGUGAUGAGUUUUUAAUUCUUAAAAUUGUGUACAUGUAUUAGGUUUAUCUUAACUCUUACCCUAAGCAAAAGGGAAGGUAUACACCUAAGGGAUGUAAUUAUUUUGCAUUUUUGGCCUUGGGUGGGAAUGGGGUGGGCAACUACUUAAACAGUUUUUAAAAAAGAAAAAAAAUCACAAAUAUUUUUCUACUAUUAUACAUGAUCUUACUUUAUACUAGUUUCUCUCUAGUAAGGCAUGCCAGAAGCCCAAGGUACCAUAUCAUGAGUUCCUAUGUAUUGUACCUUUUAUUGGUGGUUAAAUUGCAUCAGAUGCUUGGCACUGCUGCCAUAAUUAUGAAAUGCUUGUAAAGGAUUAAUUAUCACUGAAUACUUUAAAUUGUUUUACUUAAGAGUUUAAUCUGGGAAGUUUUCAAAUCAUACUAUUAAUGUGUAAUCUAAGCUCUUUCAGAUGUAUCCAUGAAUAAUCCUGGAACAAUAUUGCUUGUAUUCCUGUCACAGAACAGGUUUUGUAAUCUUUAAAAGAAAUGAAAAUUUAUAUAAUAAAAU